rnacentral:rRNA from 1 species
UGUAGUCAUAUGCUUGUCUCAAAGAUUAAGCCAUGCAUGUCUAAGUAUAAGCAAUUACAAAGCGAAACUGCGAAUGGCUCAUUAUAUAAGUUAUCGUUUAUUUGAUAGUACCUUACUACAUGGAUAACCGUGGUAAUUCUAGAGCUAAUACAUGCUGAAAAUCCCGACUUCGGAAGGGAUGUAUUUAUUAGAUACAAAACCAAUGCCCUUCGGGGCUCUCUUGGUGAUUCAUGAUAACUUCUCGAAUCGCACGGCCCCGCGCCGGCGAUGGUUCAUUCAAAUUUCUUCCCUAUCAACUUUCGAUGCUACGGUAUUGUCCUAGCAUGGUUGCAACGGGUGACGGAGGGUUAGGGCUCGACCCCGGAGAAGGAGCCUGAGAAACGGCUACUACAUCCAAGGAAGGCAGCAGGCGCGCAAAUUACCCAAUCCCGAUACGGGGAGGUAGUGACGAUAAAUACCGAUACAGGGCUCUUUUGGGUCCUGUAAUUGGAAUGAGUACAAUUCAAAUCCCUUAACGAGGAACAAUUGGAGGGCAAGUCUGGUAAUCG